rnacentral:rRNA from 1 species
AUAUGGCCAUAUCACGUUGAAACACUGGUUCUCAUGCAAUCACUGAAGUUAAGCAACAUUGAGCCUGGUCAGUACCUUGAUGGGUGACUUCUUGGGAAUACCAGGUGCUGUAAG